rnacentral:rRNA from 1 species
CACUCCUACGGGAGGCAGCAGUGGGGAAUUUUGGACAAUGGGCGAAAGCCUGAUCCAGCCAUGCCGCGUGCAGGAUGAAGGCCUUCGGGUUGUAAACUGCUUUUGUACGGAACGAAACGGCCUUUUCUAAUAAAGAGGGCUAAUGACGGUACCGUAAGAAUAAGCACCGGCUAACUACGUGCCAGCAGCCGCGGUAAUACGUAGGGUGCAAGCGUUAAUCGGAAUUACUGGGCGUAAAGCGUGCGCAGGCGGUUAUGUAAGACAGUUGUGAAAUCCCCGGGCUCAACCUGGGAACUGCAUCUGUGACUGCAUAGCUAGAGUACGGUAGAGGGGGAUGGAAUUCCGCGUGUAGCAGUGAAAUGCGUAGAUAUGCGGAGGAACACCGAUGGCGAAGGCAAUCCCCUGGACCUGUACUGACGCUCAUGCACGAAAGCGUGGGGAGCAAACAGGAUUAGAAACCCUGGUAGUCCCA